AGAACGAACGCUGGCGGCAGGCUUAACACAUGCAAGUCGAACGCCCCGCAAGGGGAGUGGCAGACGGGUGAGUAACGCGUGGGAAUCUACCCAGUUCUACGGAAUAACACAGGGAAACUUGUGCUAAUACCGUAUACGCCCUACGGGGGAAAGAUUUAUCGGGAUUGGAUGAGCCCGCGUUGGAUUAGCUAGUUGGUGGGGUAAUGGCCUACCAAGGCGACGAUCCAUAGCUGGUCUGAGAGGAUGAUCAGCCACACUGGGACUGAGACACGGUCCAGACUCCUACGGGAGGCAGCAGUGGGGAAUUUUGCGCAAUGGGGGAAACCCUGACGCAGCAACGCCGCGUGGAGGAUGAAGCCCCUUGGGGUGUAAACUCCUUUCGAUCGGGAAGAUAAUGACGGUACCGAUAUAAGAAGCCCCGGCUAACUUCGUGCCAGCAGCCGC
rnacentral:rRNA from 1 species